rnacentral:rRNA from 1 species
AUUGAACGCUGGCGGCAGGCCUAACACAUGCAAGUCGAGCGGAGCGGCGGACGGGUGAGUAAUGCCUAGGAAUCUGCCUGGUAGUGGGGGAUAACGUCCGGAAACGGGCGCUAAUACCGCAUACUAUCAUAUGAGCCUAGGUCGGAUUAGCUAUUUGGUGGGGUAAAGGCCUACCAAGUCGACGAUCCCUAGCUGGUCUGAGAGGAUGACCAGCCACACGGGAACUGAGAAACGGUCCAGAAUCCGACGGUAGGAAGCAGUGGGGAAUAUUGCACAAUGGGCGGAAGCCUGAUGCAGCCAUGGCGCGUGUAUGAAGAAGGCCUUAGGGUUGUAAAGUACUUUCAGUGGGGAGGCGUUACCCGCAGAGGAAGCACCGGCUAACUCCGUGCCAGCAGCCGCGGUAAUUC